rnacentral:rRNA from 1 species
UACGUAGGGUGCGAGCGUUAAUCGGAAUUACUGGGCGUAAAGCGUGCGCAGGCGGUUCGUUAAGUCCGUUGUGAAAGCCCCGGGCUCAACCUGGGAAUGGCAAUGGAUACUGGCAAGCUAGAGUGCGGUAGAGGGUAGUGGAAUUCCCGGUGUAGCGGUGAAAUGCGUAGAGAUCGGGAGGAACACCAGUGGCGAAGGCGGCUACCUGGACCAGCACUGACACUGAGGCACGAAAGCGUGGGGAGCAAACAGG